rnacentral:rRNA from 1 species
ACAGGAUUAGAUACCGUGGUAGUCCAUGCCGUAAACGUUGGGCAGUAGGUGUGGGGGACAUUCCACGUUUUCCGCGCCGUAGCUAACGCAUUAAGUGCCCCGCCUGGGGAGUACGGCCGCAAGGCUAAAACUCAAAGGAAUUGACGGGGGCCCGCACAAGCGGCGGAGCAUGCGGAUUAAUUCGAUGCAACGCGAAGAACCUUACCAAGGCUUGACAUGAACCGGUAAUACCUGGAGACAGGUGCCCCGCUUGCGGUCGGUUUACAGGUGGUGCAUGGUUGUCGUCAGCUCGUGUCGUGAGAUGUUGGGUUAAGUCCCGCAACGAGCGCAACCCUCGUUCUAUGUUGCCAGCACGUGAUGGUGGGGACUCAUAGGAGACUGCCGGGGUCAACUCGGAGGAAGGUGGGGACGACGUCAAAUCAUCAUGCCCCUUAUGUCUUGGGCUUCACGCAUGCUACAAUGGCCGGUACAAAGGGUUGCGAUACUGUGAGGUGGAGCUAAUCCCAAAAAGCCGGUCUCAGUUCGGAUUGGGGUCUGCAACUCGAC